ACUACCACUACUACUACUAAUACAGUUUAUCGGUAUACCUUUAACUCUCAUAUUGAUUUAACAUACAACUUUUCGUUAUAUUAUUCUAUGUCUUGUUAUUUAACUUUCCUUCAUCCAGCUCAAAUCACAUAGAAAAACAAAAUUUUAUCAUUUUUUCUGGAAUGGAAGCUACACCGAUGUUCUCUUUAAUAAUUGUAGUUUUAACUUUAUCAUGUUUUUUUGACUAUUUAUUUAUCUUGACAUUCUCAUAUCCGCGAAUUUCGUUUUAUUUUUUAAUAACACCCAACAUUCAAUUUCAUGCAUCAUUGUAUGUCUUAUACUUGAAUACAAAUUUUCUCUUGGAUCCUUUUAAUUUAUUUAUUUUUAUAAAAAUCUCUUGGAUCUUGAGACUUGAAUAACUCCCUGCAGCUUGGAUCUUGGUUGGCUUAUAACUCCAAGGAUUAAUUCGGUGAUAUCCUUAAUUCUUGACCAUCUCAAUAAUGAAAUAAUAAAUAAUUUUUAUAUUUCUAAUGAUCUAAAUUAUACAUAAAUGUGUUGAUAUAUAGUAAUUAUAAACACGAAGGCAUUAAACAUAAAUGUAUAAAAACAAACAUAAUUGUAUCCACAAGUGUGUCACACCAUGUAUAUUUAUGAUAAGCAAGCAAUCUACAAAUUACUUACACUGGGAAUUCCAUAGUCUGGAGAUUCAUCAAUAUGUAUAAUCAAGGGGCAAAAAAGAUCCAUGCAAUCUGAAGAAUUAAAUAUCUAGUGGAAAAACAUUUGUAAAAGAAAAAAGAAUGAAAAGAAAAAAAGAAUUUAAUGUCCAGGGCCUUUUUUGCUGGGUCCAGAAGCUAAUAUAAAAGCCAUGCUGUGCUUUGAAUCACGAUUUCUGGAAUUGUUAGAAGAAACAAAAGAUGUCACCCCAUCUACACGUUUGGAUUGAAGAACUCUGCUAUGAACAAAACAGAGUUGUGAUGAUGACAUCACAACCAUCAUGAUAACCAAAACAAUCAUUAGACUUUUCUUCAUUGCAAACUUUUGUUUCCAAUUCCUUUCACAAUAUUCCUUAAGCCUUUUGAUGUAUAUUUUUAUUUCAAGAAGUUAUAUUUAUUUUGGGAUAAACGAGGAGCCACUAUAGUUGGUUUAUAUACAAAAUAAUUGGUAUGAGGACGGUGAAGAGCUUUCCAAGUGGGCCCUUUAAAAGCUGAAUGUUGAUUUGACUUUAAGUGCUUCUUUGGAGUAAUAUGAUUUGAAGAAUUUGUGUUAUAUACCGGCCUUAUAAUCGAUGUUUUCUCACUUGGGUAUUUUCUUGUUUUGAAAUUGUUGACUUUAAC
rnacentral:lncRNA from 1 species